rnacentral:rRNA from 1 species
GAUGAACGCUAGCUACAGGCUUAACACAUGCAAGUCGAGGGGAAACGAUGAGAGAGCUUGCUCUCUUAGGCGUCGACCGGCGCACGGGUGAGUAACGCGUAUCCAACCUACCCAUUACAGGGGGAUAACCUUGCGAAAGUAAGACUAAUACCCCAUGGCAUUUUAUGGUGGCAUCAUUAUAGGAUUAAAGAUUUAUUGGUAAUGGAUGGGGAUGCGUCUGAUUAGCUUGUUGGCGGGGUAACGGCCCACCAAGGCAACGAUCAGUAGGGGUUCUGAGAGGAAGGUCCCCCACAUUGGAACUGAGACACGGUCCAAACUCCUACGGGAGGCAGCAGUGAGGAAUAUUGGUCAAUGGGCGAGAGCUUGAACCAGCCAAGUAGCGUGCAGGAUGACGGCCCUAUGGGUUGUAAACUGCUUUUAUAGGGGAAUAAAGUGAGCUACGUGUAGUUUAUUGCAUGUACCCUAGGAAUAAGGACCGGCUAAUUCCGU